CGCAGCUGCGAAUAUCGCAACGGCCCCUUAGUAGGCCUUUUAGUGCAUUAUUUAGCUCAUGUCAGUUUAUCUUCUAUCAACAUCUGUGGAAAAAUGUCCGAGAAUCCGACUGCCGUUUUCAAGCAACACGCCUCAAUUAGGUGUAUCACAACAAUUGCGAACUAGAUACAAGCGGGAUGGCGUUUUCAUCCGUACAGAAAGGGAAAAAGUGUUCUUGCGGUUCAGCCCAGUGCCAAUUUGAACCGUAUCCAGCGCACCCCAGGGAUCAAUUCCGUGUGGGUUUUAGAUGGUGCUAGCAUUCAUAGCUGGUGGGUUUUUCGACCCAAACAAAGGUCUAUACCAAAAAUUCGAGAAAUUGGGAAUUAAGCGUGUUUGAUGAUUGAAAUAAAGAAAUCAUUGUAAACUUGUU